UGCGUUCCAUGCGCAUGCGCGUGCGCAGGGCGCGCGCAUGCGCAUGCCCUCAAGCGCAGGCCUUGGAGUGGGGCUGGAGUUCCGGGCGACCCGUGUGUUGUUGGGUCUUAAUUCUAAAUUUGUCUGUGGCUCUCCUUGAAAUUGCUAAGUAGACAGUUGUAUAAUCCGUGACUAUUGACAUUUGCUUUCUUCUUUGGAACAUUUAAAUUUUAUUCUGUGAACUAGAACCUGCUAGUGGGCAUUCUGAGUUGUUUUUGACUAAGAUGGAGUCUUGCUCUGUUGCCCAGGCUGGAGUGCAGUGGCAUGAUCUCAGCUCACUGCAACCUCCGCCUUCCAGAUUCAAGUGAUUCUCCUGCCUUAGCCCCCCGAGUAACUGGGAUUACAGGCACGCACUACCACACCCUGCUAAUUUUUGUAUUUUUAGUAGAGACGGUUUCACCAUGUUGGUCAUGCUGGUCUCAAACUCCUGACCUCAAGUGAUCUGCCAGCCUUGUCCUCCCAGACUGCUAGGAUUACAGGCAUGAGCCACUGUGCUGGGCCAUGAUUAACUUUCUUUAUAUAUAGUUUCUCCUGAUGUUGUACAAGAGUUUCCUGAGUGUCAACCUAGAAGUGGAUGAGCUGGGUUUUAGUAUAUGCAGAUUGCACACUGGUAUUUAUAACAGCUUUGUUCAUAAUUGCCAAAAUUUAGAAGCUAUCAAGAUGUCUUUCUCUAGGUGAAUGGGUAAAUAAACUGUGGUACAUCCAGAAAACAGAAUAUUAUUCAAAACUAAAAUGAAAUGAACUAUCAAGCCAUGAAGAGACAUGGGGGAAACUUAAAUGCAUAUUGCUAAGUUAAAGAAGCCACUCUUAAAAGGCUAUAUACUGUAUGAUUCUAACUAUAUGACAUUCUGGAAAACACAAAACUAUAGAGGCAGUAAAAAGAACAAUACUCGCCAGGGGUUAAGGAGGAGUGAAAGAUAAGUAGAUGGAACAUAGAGGAUUUUUUAGAACAAUGAAACUAUUGUUUAGGAUACUAUAAUGGUGGAUACAUGUAAUUAUACAUUUGUCCAAAGUCAUAGAAUAUACAACAUCAAGAAUGAACUCUAAUGUAAGCUAUGGAUUUGGGGUCACAAACAUGUAUAAAUGUAGGUUUGUUGAUUGUAACAAAUGUACCACUCUCUUGUAUGAGGCUGAUAGUCCGGGAGGCUACGUAUGUGUGUCAGGGUGCAGGGUAUAGAUGGGAAUACCCUCUACUUUGUACUCAAUUUUGCUGUGAACCUAAAACUUCUCUAAAAGAUCAAUUUUAUUUUGAAAAACACUAUGAUACACUAAAACUUCUUUUGUCCUUAUUUGGUAAUACUUAGAAAUAUAAUUUUAUUAAGAUUAUAUUUAAAAGUAGAACCAAAAGAUAUGCAUGUUUUAGUGAAAUAUCUUCUAUUGUUAUUACUAUCAUCAUAGUUAUUAUUAUUUGACUUAGAAAUCCUCAGUAGACAUUAUGAAAUUAGAGAUCAGUAAUGUUCAUGUUGAAAAAGAAAUAUACUUGAUAAAAUUGCUUCUUAUUCUUUUGGCGUUACUGUGGUUAAGAGUCUUGUGCUGUAAUGAUCUCAGUUAAAAAUAGUAAAAAGAAUCUCUUCAGUAUUGUGGUGGACUCUGCACAAUUCAUGCAACAAGAAGCUUGGUUACCUGCCCAUAUAGCUUUGUUUGUAUCAGCCAGUUGAAAUGUCAAGAUGGUUCCUUAUCCACUGGAUAAUUUCACAAUCUUCCUCUUAAUUUGGUUGCUUUGGACACAUUCUAUCCUGGAAACAAAAUCUAGGCUUCAUAAUACAUUCGGAAAUAAUAGAUUCAUGUUUUUUUCCAGCUGGUACUGGUAGAGUUUACACAUUUACUCCUGCACCAUAGGAACAGCUGCUUAAAAAGCUGAAGUGUGUAUUUGAUUCCAUUACAUUGGCACAAUAGAAAGUCACGUAAAAAGAGGGAGACUCUCUCAGCUUCUCCAUAUUUGGAAAAUUAAUACUUUUAAGUGCUUUAAAAAAAAAUCUCUACAGGUGGUCAGAUUCUAUGAACUUAGGACCAGAAAUGACCUCAUCACCUUCAGCUGGUCUAAAGUUGUCUUUGGCUGCUGCACACUUCACAAAAUCUUGUUAAUUAUGAUUGUUUUUUCCUAGUUAUAAGUCCUUCUGGAUACAUUUUUAUAAAGCAUUUAUUUUUAUCACUUACAUAACUACAUAAAAUAUUUUCACUGGUGUCAAAAUGUCAUGUUAUUGCCAAAUAGAUUCCAUUUCAAUUUCUAGAAAUUAUUGGAAAGUUAAUACCCACAUUUUAAUGGCACCCUUGCUGUAGUAUUAAAUCAUGCUUUCCUGAAAUUCACAAGAAUCGUAAUUACACUGCGUUUAUCCAGAAUAAAGCACUAGAACAGUUACUUUUUGGCCGUCUUGCCCAUUAAUUUCUAUGCUUGCACUUUCUCUUUAGACAAACAAUGAAUGAAAUUUAGUGUCUUUCUAGAAUUGAAUUUUCAUGAAAGUGUUAUAUACAUACUCAUCAUCUACUUCUCUUUUCAGCACAGUGAUGUUGUAGUUCAAGAAUUGAUGGACGAAGGGGCCCCAAGCCAAGGAAUGCAGGCCACCUCUAGAAGCUGGAAAAGGCAAGGAAAUGAAUUCCCCCAAGAGCCUCCAGAAGGAACACAACCAUGCCAACCUGUUUUAGACUUCUGAUCUCCUGAACUGGGCUGCCACACUCAUCUAGGGGCUGCAUCUACUAAUUGAUGCAUGCAGAACUCAUUACUGUUGAUGGAAGCAAAAACAACAAGGCUGAGUGCCUUGACUCAGUCAGAGGUUGGAAACCCUCUGGCUCAGCUUUACUGGCCAAUCUUCAUUAGAGAUGGGGUCUUCCUGUGUUGCUCAGGCUGGACUCGAACUCCUGGGCUAAGCUGAUCUUCCUGCCUUGGCCUUCCAACCCUUCCUCUGCUUUUGAAGAAGUCCUAAAGAAAAAAAGGACACAACUCUUCAUAUGAAAUCAUUUUUGACAUCUUCGGAGAUUUCUCUAGGUUCUGGCCCAAGCCUGACUGUUGUUCUGUUCCACCUGCAUUCUUCCUACACUUGAGGGAUUUCAAAAAAUGCAUUUUGCUGUGAACUCAGGCAUUUAUCCUCAUAUGUUUUCCUGCCUGUUCAGGUGUUCAUUUCUCUUGUUCUCAGUAAACACUAAAUUCAAGUCAAGCUUCUGGAAAGAAUAAUUUUGAGUCACUAGGAGUGCAGUGGCGCGAUCACCACUCACUGCAGCCUCCACCUCCUGCGUUCAAGUGAUUCUCCUGCCUCAGCCCCCCGAGUAGCUGGAUUUCUCUGAAUUUCAUCACACUAAGAUAUAUUUCUCAUGCCUGGUCUUGCUCUGUUGCCCAGUGUUGCCCAGGCUGGAGUGCAGUGGCACAAUCACAGCUCACUGAAGCCCUGACCUCCUGUGCUCAAGCAAUCCUCUUGCUUCAGCUUCCAGAGUAAAUGGAUCUUACUCUGUUACCCAGGCUGAAGUGCAGUUGCUUGAUCACAGCUCACCCUAGCCUUGAACUCCUGGGCUCAAGACAUCCUCACACCUCAGCCUCCAGAGUAGCUUGGACUAUAGGCAAGCCACUGCCAUGCCCAGCUAAUUUUAAAAAUUUUUUUGUAGAGACAAGGCCUCACUAUGUUGCCCAGGCUGGUCUCAAAUUCCUGGACUUAGGCGAUCCUCUGCCUCAGCCUUCCCAAAUGCUGAAAUUACAGGUGAGCCACCAUGCCCAGCCCUUAACGUCUUUAAACUGUCAUUUUCUCAUUUGUUGAAUGAAUAUCACAAUAGUACCCACCUCAUAGGGUAGUUCUGGGGAUUAAAUAAAAUAUUUAGUUAAAA